UACGGAGGGUGCAAGCGUUAAUCGGAAUCACUGGGCGUAAAGCGCACGUAGGCUGUCUUGCAAGUCAGACGUGAAAGCCCUCGGCUCAACCGGGGAACUGCGUUUGAAACUGCAUGACUUGAGUACAGGAGAGGAUGGCAGAAUUCCGGGUGUAGGGGUGAAAUCCGUAGAUAUCCGGAGGAAUACCAGUGGCGAAGGCGCCCACCUGGCCUGCUACUGACGCUCAUGUUCGAAAGCGUGGGUAGCAAAC
rnacentral:rRNA from 1 species